rnacentral:rRNA from 1 species
GAGGAAGGUGGGUAUGUUAAUAGCAUAUUCAUUUGACGUUUAGCUGCAGAAGAAGCACCGGCUUAACUCCGUGCCAGCUAGCCGCGGUAAUACGGAGGGUGCGAGCGUUAAUCGGAAUUACUGGGCGUAAAGCGCAUGCAGGUGGUUUGUUAAGUCAGAUGUGAAAGCCCGGGGCUCAACCUCGGAAUUGCAUUUUGAAACUGGCAAACUAGAGUACUGUAGAGGGGGUAGGAAUUUCAGGUGUAGCGGUGAAAUGCGUAGAGAUCUGAAGGAAUACCGGUGGCGAAGGCGGCCCCCUGGACCAGAUACUGACACUCAGAUGCGAAAGCGUGGGGAGCAAACAGGAUUAGAUACCCUGGUAG